UUAAUUGAAGAGUUUGAUCAUGGCUCAGAUUGAACGCUGGCGGCAGGCCUAACACAUGCAAGUCGAGCGGCAGCGACUUAACUGAACCUUCGGGGAACGUUAAGGGCGGCGAGCGGCGGACGGGUGAGUAAUGCCUGGGAAUAUGCCCUGAUGUGGGGGAUAACUAUUGGAAACGAUAGCUAAUACCGCAUAAUCUCUUCGGAGCAAAGAGGGGGACCUUCGGGCCUCUCGCGUCAGGAUUAGCCCAGGUGGGAUUAGCUUGUUGGUGAGGUAAUGGCUCACCAAGGCAACGAUCCCUAGCUGGUCUGAGAGGAUGAUCAGCCACACUGGAACUGAGACACGGUCCAGACUCCUACGGGAGGCAGCAGUGGGGAAUAUUGCACAAUGGGGGAAACCCUGAUGCAGCCAUGCCGCGUGUGUGAAGAAGGCCUUCGGGUUGUAAAGCACUUUCAGUAGGGAGGAAGGUAGUGUAGUUAACACCUGCAUUAUUUGACGU
rnacentral:rRNA from 1 species